rnacentral:rRNA from 1 species
UGGGGUAAAUUGCACAAUGGGCGAAAGCCUGAUGCAGCGACGCCGCGUGAGUGAAGAAGGUCUUCGGAUCGUAAAACUCUGUCCUUGGGGACGAAAAAAUGACGGUACCCAAGGAGGAAGCCACGGCUAACUACGUGCCAGCAGCCGCGGUAAUAA